GCGUUGGACUGAAAAAUUUUUGGCGCUGGCCUUAUUCCCUUUUCCCUAAUUUUCUUUUCCCUCUUUCCCCUAUUCUACUUUGUCUCUGCAGAUUAGGAAUUUUCCCUCUUCUUCGUCUCUCACCUUUCCCUCUUCUUCAUCUCUCACGUUUCCCUCUGAUCUUAACUGCAAUCGGCACUCACGUUGGGUCUCUUCAUCUUCUUCUUCGAUCUCUCACGUUCUCCCUCUGAUCUCCUCCGCAAUCCGUGGCCAGCAUCCUAGAACCUGCAGGCUUGGGACCCUUUCUUGAGGUGGUGGAGUGACCGGGGACCAGAUUUGCUGAGCAUCCUCAACCAAACCUUCUAGAUUUUUCUGAUAAGAAAGAGAGAAAUUGGAGUAAGGGGGAGAAAACCCAUUGUUUCUGGCUCACCAUCCGAACAGUGCAAAGUGACCAUCUGAAUGGCCCCUGCCUAGUGUGUAGGUACCAUGGCUGAGUCUUCCAAUGCUCAUGGUCCAUCAUGCCUUACAAUGAGUUGUUCAAGCCCUCAUUCCUCCUAAUGCCAUAUCUGAACUUCCUAAAAAAUUUGCUGCACUAUCAGAUCAGGUGACAGAUAUGGGCUCUCAAAUGGAAUCUUCCAUUCAAGGACUACUUUAAGCAACAAGGUUGAUGGGAUUUCUCCAAUAUGGAGAAUGAUUUUUGCAGCCCCUUUAAUCAUUUGUGAUAAAAAGGGGGAGUAGCAUUGGUUAAUGGAGAGUAGUUAUGACUAAGGAGGAGUCAUGUCUAUUAUUGGACUGCUGAUUUUAUUUCUGCCACUGUUGGGAGUUUAUGUUUAUUGCAAAUAUUCUGUCUAGAUUUUUGCAAUAUUUUAUUUAGUGCUUUUAUCAUCGAAAUGCCAAAGGGGGAGUUUGUUAUAUAUUUUUGUCAAAUAUGUAAUUGGCCAAUUUAUAUGAUCAAAACCUUGUAAUUGCAUCCAACAUGUAAAUUGGCACCUUCAGGAGCACCUGGUAGCAGUUCUAGGAAACCAUUGUCCGAACGUCAAGAAGGACCAUCCAAAUGUGCAGCAGGAUGAAGACUUCCAGUACUAAUUCCUGAAAGCUCGAUUCUCUGGGCGUUCUUAGACCGUUCGAACGGUAAAGAUGAUACUGGUUCUGUUAAGUCCUCAAAAUGGACCACUAAAGCUAGGGUUGCCACGUGUCAACAGCACAUGUAACCUAGUCACGUUCGAAGCCCCGUUCGAACGGAAGUGUGUGGGAGGACAACUAUUGUGGCCGACAACUUAAAUGCUCAUGGAAAACACUGGAGUAGGUGGCCAUUAAAUGCGCCACGUCCAAACGGUAAAAGUCAGAGUUCAAACGGCAAAUGGUCAAUGGUCAAUUGAAAAUGGACGAUAGAUUAAAUGCUUCCAGGAGACACGAGAGUUGGUAGCAUUUAUGACUGCUCCAUCCAAAUGGCAAUCAAGAUCGUCCGUACGGUCAGUUUGUUGGUGGUUAGCACCGCGAAUUAAAUGCAUGCGGGAAUCCCAAGAAAGCUAUCCCAUGUCGCCACUUCAGCACGUGAACUCAAGCCAUCCGAAUGGCCAGCUCAGCCGUUCGAACAUUUUGUAAGAAAUUGCAUUAAUUGAAGCUGAAGGGGCAACUCAUUACUGACUAUAAAUAAAGCACUCGUGCUCCUCAUUUUGAUCAAGGAAAACAGAGGGCAAAAGUAGGAAAUUGAGAGAAAAAUCCUAAGUGCUUUGAGUGAGUUUUUCCUUGUGUGCUAGGAAAGGUUUUAUGUUGUGAGCUUAGUCUCUAUACUCUCCUAGAGUUGUACAGUAAUUUAUUUUCAGCAACUUGUGUGUAAAUAGUCGAGGUAACUUGCAGCUUGUUAGAGGUUAUGGUAAGGAAAGUCGAUAAGAGGGGUACCAGAGGUUCAGGGGGGACUACCGCGGUAGCCGAGCAAGAAGGGUCACUUCUCUAGACAAGUUCGUGUCAACUACAAAGGUUUUGUAAGUGUGAGCAACUUAUAUUUCCUCAUCCUUUUAUAGUAAACGAUUUCCUGGGUCCGCAACCCUGGAGUGUUUUUCCUUGAAGAGGUUCUU